AAUACAUGCAAGUCGAGCGCGGGAAGCGAGCUGAUCCCCUUCGGGGGUGACGCUCGUGGAACGAGCGGCGGACGGGUGAGUAACACGUGGGUAACCUGCCUGUAAGAUCGGAAUAACUCCGGGAAACCGGAGCUAAUGCCGGGUAAUACUUUCUUUCGCAUGAAGGAAAGUUGAAAGAUGGCUUCUUGCUAUCACUUACAGAUGGACCCGCGGCGCAUUAGCUAGUUGGUGAGGUAACGGCUCACCAAGGCGACGAUGCGUAGCCGACCUGAGAGGGUGAUCGGCCACACUGGGACUGAGACACGGCCCAGACUCCUACGGGAGGCAGCAGUAGGGAAUCUUCCGCAAUGGACGAAAGUCUGACGGAGCAACGCCGCGUGAACGAUGAAGGUCUUCGGAUCGUAAAGUUCUGUUGUUAGGGAAGAACAAGUACCGUUCGAACAGGGCGGUACCUUGACGGUACCUAACGAGGAAGCCCCGGCUAACUACGUGCCAGCAGCCGCGGUAAUACGUAGGGGGCAAGCGUUGUCCGGAAUUAUUGGGCGUAAAGCGCUCGCAGGCGGUUCCUUAAGUCUGAUGUGAAAGCCCACGGCUCAACCGUGGAGGGUCAUUGGAAACUGGGGAACUUGAGGACAGAAGAGGAGAGUGGAAUUCCACGUGUAGCGGUGAAAUGCGUAGAUAUGUGGAGGAACACCAGUGGCGAA
rnacentral:rRNA from 1 species